UGGGGAAUAUUGCACAAUGGGCGCAAGCCUGAUGCAGCCAUGCCGCGUGUAUGAAGAAGGCCUUCGGGUUGUAAAGUGCUUUCAGCGGGGAGGAAGGGAGUAAAGUUAAUACCUUUGCUCAUUGACGUUACCCGCAGAAGAAGCACCGGCUAACUCCGUGCCAGCAGCCGCGGUAAUACGGAGGGUGCAAGCGUUAAUCGGAAUUACUGGGCGUAAAGCGCACGCAGGCGGUUUGUUAAGUCAGAUGUGAAAUUCCCGGGCUCAACCUGGGAACUGCAUCUGAUACUGGCAAGCUUGAGUCUCGUAGAGGGGGGUAGAAUUCCAGGCGUAGCGGUGAAAUGCGUAGAGAUCUGGAGGAAUACCGGUGGCGAAGGCGGCCCCCUGGACGAAGACUGACGCUCAGGUGCGAAAGCGUGGGGAGCAAACAG
rnacentral:rRNA from 1 species